UUCUCGUGUGUAGUCAUCCAUCAUUAGAUUUUAGCUUUUUGUUACAAAAUUUUGUGCCAACAAGGAAAACGCAAAAACCAUAAUUUUUUUCCUCCCGACACUCUAUGGACCUUCUAAAACGACAUUUAAAAACUACUUUUGUGCGUGAGUUGUUUUUUCUUUGAAUAUCGUGUUAGUUGAAACGGCCCGUUGUCUAAGGAAAUUCAAUAUAUUUUUCAAACAAACACCCCAGUGACAGAGUGCUGCAAUACGAGAAGAGGCGAAGUGGGGAGGAGAUUGUGUUGUAUGCCAGAGAUUAUGUGCGCUUGAGUUAAAGAAGGAAGAAGGGGAACAAACAAGGCAAAAUAGAUUGCACAUUGCACAUCAUCACAACACAACAUUUCGUCAAGAAAACAAGAAAAAGAAAACGCUGCUGCCGCCGACGCCAGCGUCAGUCAGACCACCAGUCACAGCGCACACACAGCUGAGCAAAAAUAUCGCCAAAACAAACCAAAAAAGAAAACAAUCGGGUUUGUAUUGAAAACAAAGACAUAUGAUUGCAAUGCUUUUUUUGUAGUUGUUGCUAUAAUGGUGUGGUGCAUUGAUUGUUUCUUCAAUUUGUAGUCUUCUUCUUAUUCCUAUUCAUUUCUGGGAAUUUUUUCAGCAGCAAAUGUAACGAUUGUCGAACAGCAAUUUGCCAGGACAAUAAUUAAAGGAAAUUUAAACCUUGUUAGCUGGUCUAAAACAAGGAAGAGUUUGCAAAUUAUCUAAGCAUGAUUAUAAUUCAUUCCAAAUUUUUAUGGGACAUCUAAAAAAGGGAGAGAGAAAGUUGAAAGCUGACAGAAGCGAGAGAGAAGAUAAAAAAUAAAUAAAAUAAAAGUCAAUGACAUUAAAAUACUCAACAAAUGAAGGUUCUGCUGCAUUGCUGCCUUUGGUAAUUCUGAUGAGGAACCAUCUCAAUUCCGUGUAAUUCCAAAUUGAUCAGUAUCCAAAGCCAAGUAUUAGAGAGAGAAGUCUGUAUCAUCAUAAGCAUACACCUACAUACCAUCCCACACUCACACCCUCAAAAGGAAAAAGGUUAAAUUUCCCCAAUCUACCUGCCUGUCUUAAUUGCCCUUUCCAAUCUUCUAAUUGCACUGCGCUGCGCUUAUUUCUUCCGUAAAGUGUUUGCGUGUGCCUCAAGUAUUUUCACAUUGUGGGAGGUUAUCUUUGUUUUGCCUUUUGCCAAAUAGUGGAAAAAUAGCUAGCCGCAACUGCAAAAGCGACGGUGUGUCUAGCUUAAUGGAUGGUACGACUAUGUCAUGCGUCUGUCUACUCUCUCGUCAUUGUAGUCAGUGAGUGCAUCAAUCCAAUGGAUGUGCGGUGGUGGUGGUAACGAUGGCGUUGAGGCUCGCUCGUGGUCGUCAUCAAAGUGACAUCGCGCUUAACCGCCGCCGGACCCGCCCGACCCAGCGAACAUUUACACGCACACUUGUGGGUGCAGCAGGCAGUUUGUCAUUUAAUGGAUGGGAGUGGACGAUAAAAGAAUCGAGCGUAUGGUGGGGCUAGCCGUGGUCAAAAUAAUUAAUAGCGCUUUAUCGGUCUCUGAUUGUAUUUGGCAAAAUGGCAACAGCAACAAGAACCACUCAGACUGCAACGCAUCGAUUCAGAUGGCAGUGAUAAAUUAGUGGCAGCAACGACCUCUGCUCUGAUAGUGAGUGAGUGAAUAAUAGCUUAACAAUAACAACAAUCAACAGUCAUAGCAGCACUGCUGCUUGGCAUAAAAACAAAAACAGACCUCCCGCCAUCACCGCCCCACCACCACCCAUUGCUUUAAGUAGGGAGUCUAACAAACAACAAAAAAUCAGCUACAAUUUAAACGUAAUAAAACAUAUAAUUAAAAACAACCCAAGAAAGAAUCAAACCAAAGAAACGUGCUAAAGCGAAAAACAGCUGUUGAAGAGAAACACGACGUCUGGCUGUGUUUGAAUGGAUGGAUCUGACGAUUGUUUGAUUCUGGAGAGCAAGCAACAAACCUACCCAUGCAACCAACCAUCCGUCCAUCUAACGACAAAUGAUGAACAACAAGCAUUAGCUUUGUCACCUCACCUCAUCUCAUCACCCACACCCACCCAACCAACCAUCAAUGCCUGUGUUUUGUGUGCAAGCAUGCAAUUAUUCUAGGUUCGCUUGCUAGUGUCGCUCCAGCUGGAUGGCUGCCUAACUGGUUGGCUUUGUGUAUUACUGUGUUUUGCUUCCACCCGCUCCCUGUGCUGCAGUAGCCUAACACUACUAGCCUGUUUGCCUGCCCUAUUGAGAGACUCCACUUCACCACACAUCACAACAGCUGUUAGCGAGGUAGCUUGAUGUUGUUGUCGUUGUCGUCGUGAUCCCCUUACAAUUGCAUUCACCCAACCCGACGUCGUCGUGCAUAUCAGAAAAUUAAAAAAAAAGAAAAAAAAAAAUAAUAAUCUCAAAGAAAACAAAACACCAACACUUAGUGCACAUACAUAUAAACGUAUUCAAGCGCCCAGAGUCACAAUAACCCAACCAACCAGCAGCAAUAAGCAGCAGCGUUCAGUACAACGUUACACAGUGAUUUGGAUUUUAAAAAUUUUUAGGAAUCUUGUAUAAAAUAUUUUGUAUAACGAAAUAAAUUAUUGAGUAUAAAUGUAUAUUCCUUAUAAUCAGGUUUAAAAGGAAGCUACAUUUGUUACAUUUUUAUACCCACCACCAUAGGAUCGAGGUAUACUAUUCUAGUCAUUCCGUUUGUAAUACCACGAAA